GUGAUCUUUGCUCAUCUUGGAAUUGCCAAGGUAACAGGUGUGACAGUAAGAUAAAGAGAUUUAUCUUACUGUUACGGUGGCAAAGAGAGCGAGAGUAAAAAGGUAGGAGUGGUUUUGAGUUGAUCACCUGUUCAGGUUAUUUUACCUUUGUUUCCCUUUGCUGUGGCUCAUUACAGCCGCUGUAGUUUC